rnacentral:lncRNA from 8 species
GUGCUAGGGCAAAAACCAAAACGUGCACCCUUUUUGGGUCCCCAGGUCAAAGUUUGGGAAAUGUUGCUUUAAGGGUUUCAGCGAGACUUCAUCCCACUGAUGACUUUGUUCAAUAGUCAGAACUUUGUAGGAACAUUAAAACAUGACUGUCACGGUUGUCGUUGGUAAAGGAGGACCAAAAUGCAGCAGGACUGUGUUUGUUCAUCUUGAACAUUUAUUAAACUCAAAAUGAACACCAAAACAACAAAACAAACUCACGAUCACUGAACAGUCUUCUCAGGCUCAUACACGCUAGACAAGAAAGAAUCUCCCACCACAAAAGGACCAAGCAGCAGAGGAGGGAGCAACAGGUGGACUGGAAGGAGCAGAGGGAAUUUGAAUUGGACAAACGGGAGAAAUGGACAUGGGAGCAAGUUAUGGCCGGAGAGGGCCCAUGGAAGAAAUGGAGCAAAGACCGGGAAUGCUACCGAGGAACACGACUGGCGAUUAAACCCGAGAGGCAGCCCCAAUACAUUUUCUGGGGGGGGCAUAUGGGUAGUUUGGCGGGGCAAGUUUGGAGCCCCAGGCCAAAUCUCCGGACUGUUUCACAGAAGCCAGUUAAUGGACAGGUCUCGUGCUUCGGGGUAAUGAGUAUUAUGGCGAGGCCAAGUGUUUUUAGGCCAGUACGCGCUAUACCAGCGCCCCGCAUUUACCAGGGGGUAGUAGGCAUUCAGCCAGAAAGGGCGAUGCCAGGUUUAAGCUCGAGACCGCCAGUAAGCCUCCAAGGUCCUAUAUAUCCUGUUCCCGCUCCACGCACUAGCCUAGAGGUGCGUGUUCCCAGUCUGGCACGUCCAGUACCAGCACCACGCACCAGGUUUCAAGUGCGUCAGCCCAGUCCAACUCGUCCUGUUCCCGCUCCCCGCACUAGCCUGGAGGUGCGUGUUCCCAGUCUGGCACGUCGAGUACCAGCACCACGCACCAGGUUUCAAGUGCGUCAGCCCAGUCCGACUCGUCCUGUUCCCGCUCCCCGCACUAGCCUGGAGGUGCGUGUUCCCAGGCUGAUAACCCCAGUACCAGCACCACGCACCAGGCUUCCAGUGCGUCGGCUCAGUCAGGAGUCGCCAGAGCUGCCCGUCAGUCAGGAGUCGCCAGAGCUGCCCGUCAGUCAGGAGUCGCCAGAGCUGCCCGUCAGUCAGGAGUCGCCAGAGCCGCCCGUCAGUCAGGAGUCGCCAGAGCCGCCCGUCAGUCAGGAGUCGCCAGAGCCGCCCGUCAGUCAGGAGUCGCCAGAGUUGCCCGUCAGUCAGGAGUCGUCAGAGCCGCCCGUCAGUCAGGAGUCGCCAGAGCCGCCCGUCAGUCAGGAGUCGCCAGAGUUGCCCGUCAGUCAGGAGUCGCCAGAGUUGCCCGAAUGCCCGGAGAUGCCAGAGUGGCCCGACUGCCCGGAGAUGCCAGAGUGGCCCGACUGCCCGGAGAUGCCAG